GGAUUGUAGUCUGCAACCCGACUACAUGAAGCUGGAAUCGCUAGUAAUCGCGAAUCAGAAUGUCGCGGUGAAUACGUUCCCGGGUCUUGUACACACCGCCCGUCACACCAUGGGAGUCGGAAAUGCCCGAAGUCAGUGACCCAACCGUAAGGAGGGAGCUGCCGAAGGUGGAGCCGGUAACUGGGGUGAAGUCGUAACAAGGUAUC
rnacentral:rRNA from 1 species